GUUCAUUCGGUGGUGUAGUUGCAGAGCACGCGUCUCAGGAGAGGACGAAACGCGGGUUCGAUUCCCGUCUGAGACC